rfam:Gossypium arboreum cultivar AKA8401 contig_45868_1, whole genome shotgun sequence.
UGUUAAAAAUUACAUCCAUUUACACUGAUAAAAACUAAUGUGGCUGUUGAAAUAAUUAAACAAUGACACAUGAUAUGACAUAUGUACCUCAUGCUGACAUACACUUUCUAAUUUAUAAUAAUAGAAAUGGAUGAAAUUUUUAACA